GAUGAAGAACGCAGCGAAAUGCGAUAAGUAAUGUGAAUUGCAGAAUUCAGUGAAUCAUCGAAUCUUUGAUCGCACAUUGCGCCCGCCAGUAUUCUGGCGGGCAUGCCUGUCCGAGCGUCAUUUCAACCCUCGAACCCCUCCGGGGGGUCGGCGUUGGGGAUCGGCCCCUCACCGGGCCGCCCCCGAAAUCCAGUGGCGGUCUCGCCGCAGCCUCUCCUGCGCAGUAGUUUGCACACUCGCACCGGGAGCGCGGCGCGGCCACAGCCGUAAAACACCCCAAACUCUGAAAUGUUGACCUCGGAUCAGGUAGGAAUACCCGCUGAACUUAAGCAUAUCAAAAGCGGAGGA
rnacentral:misc_RNA from 1 species